UACCCCCUAACUGUGCCUGUGAGGCAGGUAGAGGCACCUGUGCAGUAUACACCCAACCACUACGCUGGUUGGAGACCUGAACGUUUCAUGGAGCUACAGCGUCUUAAGUGAUGGAGAGUGGAAACCACAUCAAUAUAAUGCAAUGUAAAAAUGAAACUAAAAAGAUUACAUCUUUAUCGUGAUUAUUGCUCGAUAUCUUAGAAUUCUGCUAACAAAACAUAAAGGCUGACUAAGUGACAUAAUUACUGUCGUUGAAGAAAUAAAGUGAAGUAAGAUUUUGUGAUAAAAGAAGGAUAUAUCUAGUGUACAAAAGAUAGUUCUUUGAAGCAUGAGUUAGUUCCAAAACAUUUUUCACGUUCAGGAAAAUGAAGACUGCAGGUCAACUAGUUCAGACUGUGUCAAUAAUUGAUACUAUAAGCCAAUUAGCCAGCACACCAGGACAUUCAGGCCUGGACACUCUGAAGUCUUUUUCUACAAGUUCUGGAGUUGGUGGAUAUGAUUUAAGGGGAACUGAAAUUACUUCAAUACGAGGGAUGGAUCUCUCCACCCUACCAGGGACUUCUCUACCCUCCCCUCCUCCCCUUAGAAAUAUACAAGAGAAAUUUAGACACUCACAACAUUAUUUCAGGAACAACA